CACCUCUCAGAGUCACACCUGGAGAGUUUCCAGUACUCUACCAGACUCCACUACGGGAGGGAGAGUCAAGCAGAGGCAUAUCCAUUCUAUUCCUAGCUUGGUAGUGGCUAGUGAGUGGAAGGGAAUCUGCUAGAAGU